CAGCACGUGGUUUUGAUAAAGACAUAAAUUGAGCCUCAGCCUCAUUAAACAGCCUCUCUUCCUUGUUGCGGUGAAGGCGGUCGGUCGUACCUCGGCGGAGCGCCAACACCAGCAUGUGUGCUGCUGUCAUUAAGGAUUGACAAGCCUGGACUGGAAAUAUCUUGAAUCAGGUAACAGGGACACUCUUUGACGUUCAAGGCUGGGUCGUCCCAAUUUGUGAAUUCAAGUUCACCCACAAAUGAUUUACAUCCUGAAAAUAUGGAAUAUCUUUACUAUCUCUUCAAAGGGUUGUGAUGUUAUGUAGUAAGUUAUUAAAUAUAAUAGCAUUUUGAUAAUUAGUAAUGUAAUCACUGGAUUGCACAUAAGGGAAAUGUAAUCUGAUCAAACAUUGAAAAUUUGGCAAUUUUCAAAAGGAAUGUUGCCAAAGUAAUACUUAAGUUAAAGGCAUUUUGCAUACUUGGCAUUUACUUUGUUUUAAUAUUACCUUAACACACAGUACUGGCACAAACUACAGGUGUGCUCUUUAUACAACAUGCAGGAUGUUAAAAAGAUGCCAGUAAUACACUUUGUGUAAUGUCAACUAGAUGUAAUCUGUUAACAACCCUGUCUAAGAACGUGUAGGCUCCAUCCUAUAAAAGUUCUCUGGUGAAAUGAUUGUAACUGAGAUUCAUUGCUAAAUAAAGUGUUAAGGAUUACACCA